rnacentral:snoRNA from 1 species
UCCUGUUGAAGAAACACCCAAAUGUCUUACCAGCUAUCCUAGACCCAGAGCCUGCAAAGGUAAACAAAGCUGGAA